rnacentral:rRNA from 1 species
GACGAACGCUGGCGGCGUGCUUAACACAUGCAAGUCGAACGAAGUGGAGCACGUGUGAGUAACGCGUAUUCAACCUGCCCUUCAGAGGGGGACAACAGUUGGAAACGACUGCUAAUACCGCAUACUGAAGGAGGGGAUUGCGGUUGAUUAGCUAGUUGGAGGGGUAACGGCCCACCAAGGCGAUGAUCAGUAGCCGGUCUGGGAGGAUGAACGGCCACAUUGGGACUGAGACACGGCCCAGACUCCUACGGGAGGCAGCAGUUGGGAAUCUUCCGCAAUGGACGAAAGUCUGACGGAGCAACGCCGCGGGAGUGAUGACGGCCUUCGGGUUGUAAAGCGCUGUUAAUCGGGACGCGGUACCGGAAUAGAAAGCCACGGCUAACUACGUGCCAGCCGCCGCGGUAAUUC